UACGAAGGGGGCUAGCGUUGCUCGGAAUCACUGGGCGUAAAGGGCGCGUAGGCGGCCAUUCAAGUCAGAGGUGAAAGCCCCAAGGCUCAACCUUGGAAUUGCCUUUGAUACUGUUUGGCUUGAGACCGGAAGAGGUUAGUGGAACUGCGAGUGUAGAGGUGAAAUUCGUAGAUAUUCGCAAGAACACCAGUGGCGAAGGCGGCUAACUGGUCCGGUUCUGACGCUGAGGCGCGAAAGCGUGGGGAGCAAACAGG
rnacentral:rRNA from 1 species